AUGGGAAAGCAUGUUGCGCAGCCGGGACGGGCUGUGUUGGUCAAGUCGGUCAUCACGGCAAUUGCCAUUUACUACUUGAUGGCGCUAGACCUCCCUGCUGAGGUUAUGAAGAAGAUCGAUUCCCUUAGGCAUGCCUAUCUUUGGGCAGGUUGUGACAAGGUCAAAGGUGGAAAAUGCAAGAUAAAUUGGGACCAGGUGUGCAAAUCAAAAGUGCAUGGUGGGUUGGGCAUUCUAAAUCUAGAAAAAUUUGCAGCGGCCCUUCGAAUUCGUUGGUUGUGGGCUGCUUGGACGGAUCCGGCCAAACCUCGGGCCAACUUGGGAAACCCUUGUGUACAAAAGGACAAAGAUAUUUUUGCCUCUGCCACAAAGGUUGUUGUUGGAGACGGUCGUCAAGCAUCAUUUUGGGAUUCUUCCUGGUUGGAUAGUAUGAGACACAAGGAUAUCCCGCCCAAGAUCUUUGAACUUUCUACAAGAAAAAAGUGCUCUGUGAAGAAGGCCUCGCACAAUAACUUCUGGGUUUCUAAGGUGGAUAUUGGUGGGAACCUCACUGUCAGCCACAUAUCUGAGUUCGUCAACCUUUGGGGAAAGCUCUCGCUGGUCAAUCUCAACCCGGAGGAGACCGAUUCAAUUACGUGGAAGCUCACUAAUGAUGGCCAAUAUUCAGCGGCGUCGGCUUAUAAUACACAAUUCCUUGGGCUAGUGGACAUGGACAUGCCUUUGUUAGUGUGGCAGAACUGGGCUCCUCCCACAUGCAAAUUUUUUUGCUUGGUUGGUCAUCAACAACAGAGUUUGGACGACUGA
rnacentral:rRNA from 1 species